CGCGGCGCAUUAGCUAGUUGGUGGGGUAACGGCCCACCAAGGCGACGAUGCGUAGCCGACCUGAGAGGGUGAUCGGCCACACUGGGACUGAGACACGGCCCAGACUUCCUACGGGAGGCAGCAGUAGGGAAUCUUCCGCAAUGGGCGCAAGCCCUGACGGAGCAACGCCGCGUGAGUGAUGAAGGUUUUCGGAUCGUAAAGCUCUGUUGCCAAGGAAGAACGCCUCGGAGAGUAACUGCUCUGAGGGUGACGGUACUUGAGAAGAAAGCCCCGGCUAACUACGUGCCAGCAGCCGCGGUAAUACGUAGGGGGCAAGCGUUGUCCGGAAUUAUUGGGCGUAAAGCGCGCGCAGGCGGU
rnacentral:rRNA from 1 species